AAUUUUGUGCAUAUAUGUAACUACUACAUA
rnacentral:piRNA from 1 species